UUCAUGUUAUUUUAUCUGAUAUGAAAAACUUAAUUAAGCUUGUUUGCUCAUAGCAGUUUAGUGUUCGCUAGGUGAUCUGCGAAUCAGACGGCUCAUCUGUUAGCUAGGAAGUCUCCUUCUUUGUCUGGUUGCUCGGAGUGGUUUACGAACCCUCCCUCUAUCAUUUGUAAUUCUCUUAUUUCAGAUAUUAUAAUCUAAUCUUUUCAAA